UACGGAGGGGGCAAGCGUUGUUCGGAAUUACUGGGCGUAAAGGGCGCGUAGGCGGCCUGUUAAGUCGGACGUGAAAUCCCUCGGCUUAACCGGGGAACUGCAUCUGAUACUGGAUUGGCUUGAGUUCGGGAGAGGGAUGCGGAAUUCCAGGUGUAGCGGUGAAAUGCGUAGAUAUCUGGAGGAACACCGGUGGCGAAGGCGGCAUCCUGGACCGGCAUUGACGCUGAGGCGCGAAAGCUAGGGGAGCAAACGGGG
rnacentral:rRNA from 1 species